ACGGGAGGCAGCAGUGGGGAAUAUUGCACAAUGGGGGGAAACCCUGAUGCAGCGACGCCGCGUGAGUGAAGAAGUAUUUCGGUAUGUAAAGCUCUAUCAGCAGGGAAGAAAAUGACGGUACCUGAAUAAGAAGCCCCGGCUAACUACGUGCCAGCAGCCGCGGUAAUACGUAGGGGGCAAGCGUUAUCCGGAUUUACUGGGUGUAAAGGGAGCGUAGACGGUAUGGCAAGUCUGAAGUGAAAUGCGGGGGCUCAACCCCUGAACUGCUUUGGAAACUGUCACACUGGAGUGCAGGAGAGGUAAGUGGAAUUCCUAGUGUAGCGGUGAAAUGCGUAGAUAUUAGGAGGAACACCAGUGGCGAAGGCGGCUUACUGGACUGUAACUGACGUUGAGGCUCGAAAGCGUGGGGAGCAAACAGGAUUAGAUACCCUGGUA
rnacentral:rRNA from 1 species